AAUAUAUUUUACUAAGAUCACAGUUACAGCUUUAUGUAGUGGCUGGUUAAUGAGUACUACAUGAUGAAGGAUAUUAAUAUUAGAACAAAAUGAUUUAAUUAUCAUUUGGUAGGAAGCAUGAACAGAAACACACUGCAAAUUGCUCAUUUUCAAUAAAUUACAACUUACCAAGACCAAAGGACCUUUAUAGCAUUAAGAGAUGCAGUCUCCAAAAUAUACAAGUAAUAAGAGCAAACCUGGGGCAGCAGACCCUGCUCCCUUCUGUACUUUUCCUGCAUGGAGCCAACAGCAGCUGUGACAUUUUCCAGCUCAGAAUCCAGCACAAUCCAGCACUAUACAGAUAUACAGAUAUACAGAUAUACAGUAUGUGUUCCAUACUUGUCUCUACCAGCCUCUGAUAUUGGAAGGAACACUAAGUUCACCAUAAGAUACACAUGUAUUCCCAGAAUUCUGGAGAUUUGACUCGGAUUUCUGCUAUUGGAUGAAUUAAUAACAUGAUCUUGGUGAGCUCCAGCCACUGUACAGCAGCAUAUGUUUCAAAUCUAUGUGGCCCCACUAGCAACUUUUUUGAGAAACCAUCCCUUUGGGUUUUCUUCCUUUAAGUGGCCUUCCUGCAUGUGCUGCCUCUCCACUCUCAGCCACAGUCAUGGCAGAGUCAUUGGACUCUUCCUGUGAACUACAACCAGAUCCUUCCCGUGUCACAUGGAAGGACUUUGGAAGAGCACAGAAAGGGACAAAACUACUGGUCUCUACUAAGUGAAUAAAGAUAGCUAAGUAAACACCUCUGCAGCACUACAGAGGCACAUUUUAUUGCUCCCAGAUGUGCAUGAUGGUUGGCUAAGAAGAAGAGGCAGAUAACCUUGUACCUGCUGAAAUUGCGACCCUAAAAAAUAAUUUGGAAGACCCUUUCAUUCACAUUCUUGGAAGCCUGAUUCCUUGGAAAAGUGCGAAGCUGAGAUAUGGGUAUUAUUCUUGUUCUGUUGUCUUAGAAAAUAAAAUACUGUGAGAGGAUAAACAGAAAAUUAACUAAUUUAUUUACUUCUGUCUUAUAAAAAUUAUGCUGAUAUCUCCCACAAUGGACAUUUUAUGAUAUUUAGCUGCUAUCUGCAUUUAGAUAUAGUUUUAUUUUUUUACCCAGUGCUCAGGCACGCUCAUAUUUACAAAUAGCGGGGGACAUGGAGCUCUUUUUUGGUUCUUUGUGUUCCCACUUCUUGUUGUUUUCUUAUUGUAGUUGUGCUUUUGAAAGGUGCAUGGAUGUUUCAUGUAAUUUCUGUCUUAAGUGAUACUUAAGAAUGUGCCUGUGUUGGCACUGCAAUGACACGGGUGACAUGUACUCUAGCAUAAAAGGAGAAAAUAGUACAUUCUUCUCUAAAUUCAGAUCAAGUGAAAAGCUCAUGUCCAACUAAUUAACAGUCUUACACUUUGCUGAUGUUUUGGGUCACAAGUGUGACGAAAAUACAAAAGCGGAGUGAUUUUUAUUUUUUUUGUUUUGUUUUGUUUCCUCAUUAAGUAAAAUGCAUUACAGACAAAUUUUAAA